GUGGUUUUCGGUUGAACCGAAACCUGGCCGUUGGCUGAGCGAGCGCGGGGUGUUUGGGAUGCGGCACGGCGAGGGGGAGCAGGCUUGGCUCGGGCGUAGGGAAUUGGUUUUUUUGUUUUAGCUAUCCAGGUUGUGACUGGUUUACAUAAUUACACGAUUAAGCCAUCAUUGUAGGAAAGGCUUUGCAGGAGAAAAAUGUCUUAACUGGAGGUCUUUGAGACAGAAAAACCCUGCCUCAGCCCUUGGGUCCUGAGAGUCGCGUUUCUUCUCCCCUUCGCUUAAAUAUGUAAACCAGAAUCAUUAUGUUUGGUUCAUGGAACGGAGGAAAAAAAUCCGUGUGCAGGGUCGAGACUGUCGUGGCGGAAGCCGCAGCACCCGGGAGGCAGGUGGGGAGAAAAAACGGGACCUGCUGCCGGGGACCCCUCCCGCUUUCUGGCAGUUUUCUAUUCAGCGUCCUCGGCUGUGAGAAAACAUCCCAGAUGCUGAAACCAAUAGUCUUAGCCCAGAAUCUCAAACGCCGUGGCAAAGAGGGAGUGACGACGGCCUGUGGAAAAACCUGAGGAGUUUUGGGCUUAGCGCCUUCAUGUAGAGGGGACGUGGAGGCGGGGAGGGCGUUCUAGGGUCGGCUGCGUAAUUAUACGAGGCACUGGAAAGUGAUGGGUUAGUGUCCUUGGAGUAGACCCCUGGGUUUUAUUGAACUGAUCUGAAAGGCUGGGCCCUGAGCCACACAGGGGACCUGUCAAACAGCUUCAAGCGGAAGAUGGGGCUCACGGGACUGGACUCUCUCUGCAGCCAGCUGUAAUUAACACAAAAGCAGAAGAGUUUGGGUAGAUUAUAGAAUGCCAGCUUUGAACAUCUUUUGGGGGACAGGGCACUCUGGGAGACCAAGUUCUUAGACACCAUAAAAUCAAAAAUAGACACCUCUUUGUAGAGGAGUCCAGAUGUCUAAAGAGGAAAUAUGUAAUAGGCUGAUGUUUCUUUUGUUUUUUGUUUGUUUGUUUUUUGAAAAGUUAAAAUACUAAGUUUAUAAAGUGAAAAAGUUACAGUAAGCUAAGGUUGACUUAUUGGAAAAAAUGUGCUUAUACUAUGGAAUGAGACCACCACUUCUCCUGUUGUCCCUCCCAGCUUCUUCUCCACCACCUCCCCUUUUCCCUAGUUUAUAAGACAGGAGAAAAGUGAGACAGCAAAAAGUUAGAAAGAAACAGAAGUAAGAUAAAUAGCUAGACGACCUUGGCGCCACCACCCGGCCUUGGUGGUUAAAAUAAUAAUAAUAAUGUUAACCCCUGACCAAAACUACUUGUGUUAUCUGUAAGUUCCAGACAUUGUAUGAGAAAGCGCUGUAAAACUUUUUGUUCUGUUAGCCGAUGCAUGUAGCCCCCAGUCACGUUCCCCACGCUUGCUCCAUCUAUCACAACCGUUUCACAUGGACCCCCCCCUUCAAGUUGUAAGCCCUUAAAAGGGCUAGGAAUUUCUUUUUUGGGGAGCUCGGCUUUUAAGAUGCGAGUCUGCCAACGCUCUCGGCCGAAUAAACUUCUUCCUUCUUUAAUCCAGUGUCAGGAGUUUUGUCUGCGGCUCGUCCUGCUACAAUAUGUAUAUCAAGGGUUUCUUGUUGGUGUCUGACACAGACACAGAACCACUGAUGCCCAAGCCAGUGCUCUCUACACACAGAAGCCUCCAACCUCAUCUUGAGAAACGGGGCCAUGAGGCCACCCCAGACACCGAGGGCUCCAUGGAGGCUGGGGGGUCCGUGGGACUGGGCACAUCCCAGCGGGUCUUGGAUCCUGGCCUUUCCCCUUCUUGAUGCCAGGACCUACUGAGUGCUCGCAGGUGUGCAAUGCUGGGCUGCGGGUGCUGCUUGUGUGGCAAGAAGCCUCGGGGUGCCUCCCUCCUUCUCACACCUUUCCCAGGAGGCAUGAAACGGGGAUUCAUGAUCAACCCCGGUGGCUGCUCAUGUUGAACUGGUGAAGCUCCCUCCCUGUUGUCUUCUGGGGACAUGGAGGGCAGGGCUGGAUCCCCUCAAAUGAGCUUAAGUGGCACUGCGGACAAGAACGCGCUGCAUGGCCCUCGGAAUCCUGCAUGUGGUAGCCUGACCGGCACCUCAGCCCCUCCCUCAUUAAAGCAGCCUAUGGAGGGCUCAGCCCAGUGGGCUCAGGGGCUGCUAUGGAGAGGGUGUCUGUUCCCUGGAGGAUAUUCUCAGGGCUCCUUCACUUGCCCUUAGAGAUUUCCACCAUGAAAUACAAAGGCCACAACAGAUCAGGUCAGGCUCUUCAGCAUCCUAAUCCUCCUUGAGCUCGCUAGGUUUUAUUUCUUCUGCCUCUUCAGGGUUUGUGUCUAUUGCUUUUUGCGCAGGUGCCGGGAGAGGACUUGUUGGCAUAUGCUGACGGUCGUCUGCACACUUGGGCUCUUCCAUAUCUGCUCCAGAAGCUGGAGCGUCUCCGGCACUUGCAGAGUCUUUGUCAUUCUGGGUUUCAGAAAAGUUGUUGUCCUCAGAGCUUCCAUUCUCCUGGUCUGCCCAGGUGGCCUUCGAAUGCUGGGGAGCAUCCUCAGCUGAGCCUUUGUUGCUGUCUUCCAGGGGCUCCUCUGUCGCUGAUGUUUCUUAAGAGUGAGCUGGGAAAGAGUUAGCCUAGUCUUCUCUGCCCCCUGGUCUUUAAUAACUUUUUACUCCACAUCUCAAAAGUGUUUCAAGAGCCACUUGACGAUACAGAAUAAAGAGCUGUUCACGCUAGAAGGAGGUUGGGUGGAUGUUUCUGCUUCCUUGGCCUCUUGAGUUAAACACCUAAAAAAAUAAGGCUGGGCACGGUGGCUCACGCCUGUAAUUCCAGCACUUGGGGAGGCCGAGGUGGACAGAUCACCUGAGGCUAGGAGUUGGAGGCCAGCCUGGCCAACAUAGUGAAACCCCGUCUCUACUAAAAAUACAAAAAUUAGCCAGGUCCUGUCUCUACUAAAAAACACAAAAAUUAGCUGGGUGUGGUGGUGCGCGCCUGUAAUCCCAGCUAUUCUGGAGGCUGAGGCAGGAGAAUCGCUUGAACCCAGGGAGGCAGAGGUUACAGUGAGCUGAGAUCGUGCCACUGCACUCCAGCGACAGAGAGGGAGUCCCUCCCAAAAAAAGAAAAAAGACAUGCGCGGUGGCUCACGCCUGUAAUCCCAGCACUUUGGGAGGCUGAGGCGGGUGGGUCAAGAGGUCAGGAGUUUGAGGCCAGCCUGACCAACAUAGUGAAACCCCGUCUCUACUAAAAAUACAAAAAAUAGCCGGGCGUGGUGGCACGCGCCUAUAAUCCCAGCUACUCAGGAGGCUGAGGCAGGAGAAUCACUUGAACCCGGGAGGCAGAGGUUGCAGUGCGCCGAUCGCAACACUUCACUCCAGCCUGAGCGACAGAGCGAGAUUCUGUCAGAAAGAGAGAGAGAGAGAGAGAGAGAGAGAAAGAAAGAAAGAAAGAAAGAAAGAAAGAAAGAAAGAAAGAAAAGGAAGAAAGAAAGAAAGAGAAAGAGAGAAAAAAGAAAAACAAAAAACCAAAAACCUAAACAAAAAUUUAGCUUGUGGAAAUCCCGACGCUCACUGAGUGCGGAAAUUUCUUCCAGUGUGUUGAUGGCUUUGAAUCUACCUGAGUCUCCAAUUUGUGGGGUUUAUUACUCAAAGGGUAAUAAACUCUGAGGUCUUUAGAUAAGCGCUGGAUUCCGCUAACCAUCACAGGAACUAGGACACUUUUGGUUCCAUCAACUCAAGUUUUCAUCUGCUUCUGAUAGUGGCUCAAUCAGUAAUCAACAGGAAAUGUUGAUGGAGAAGCCAUCACGAGCUAGGAAAAGGAAACCUGGACACAGGCACGUAUGAGGGAAGACAAUGUGGAGAGGCAAGGAGAAGAUGGCCACCUGCAAGCCAAGGAGAGAGGCCUGGAACACACUCUUACUUCAUGGCCCUCAGAAGGAGGCCACCCUGUCAACACCUUGAGCUCAGACUUCAGCCUCCAGAGCUGUGAAAAAAGAAAUUUUUGUUGUUUAAGCCCCUCAGUUUGGGGUAAUUUCUUAUGGUGGCCCUAGCCAAUGAAUACAGGUCCCAAAUAACUCUUCA